GAGGUAGUAUCGAUCGCGAGGCGUGAUAUCGAAACACAAUCUCGAAUGAUUCGUUUUCGAAAGGGGUACAACCGUUUUUCUCAUAUGAAUUCGAUAUGACGGAGUUCGAGUCGUCGUGAAAGUGCUGGAACCUGCUGUGAUACAAUCAGAUCUCAAUAUCACAGCGAUAAGGUCUGGCGUUAUAGACCGUGGCGUCGGCAGCCAGAACAUUCAAAAAGAAGAACAAUCCAUCGCGAUGUUUAUGGUAGAUUCGGAAUGGAUUAUGGCGCCAUUUCGGGCUCAGGGAGGACGUUUCUCGCAAUUUUCAUUCACCGAAAGCGAGUCUCAUGCUGUGAUACAUUGUGAUCGCCGAAAAUGCCGGGGGGAUUCAUAGGGAUACUAUGAGGGGGUAAUAAAUACUAUUCACAAGAUGAUUAUACCUGAGUUUGUAUAAUUUGUACAUUAUGGUGUACAUGUAUUCAUUGGGAAAAAUGGAUGAUUAAUAUAAUAAUCAACAACAUAGUUUUGCGACUCUCAAUAUUAGAUAAUAAUAAAACAGUGAAUAAUA